rnacentral:rRNA from 1 species
GACGAACGCUGGCGGCGUGCUUAACACAUGCAAGUCGAACGGAAAGGCCCUGCUUUUGUGGGGUGCUCGAGUGGCGAACGGGUGAGUAACACGUGAGUAACCUGCCCUUGACUUUGGGAUAACUUCAGGAAACUGGGGCUAAUACCGGAUAGGAGCUCCUGCUGCAUGGUGGGGGUUGGAAAGUUUCGGCGGUUGGGGAUGGACUCGCGGCUUAUCAGCUUGUUGGUGGGGUAGUGGCUUACCAAGGCUUUGACGGGUAGCCGGCCUGAGAGGGUGACCGGCCACAGUGGGACUGAGAUACGGCCCAGACUCCUACGGGAGGCAGCAGUGGGGAAUAUUGCACAAUGGGCGGAAGCCGGAUGCAGCAACGCCGCGUGCGGGAUGACGGCCUUCGGGUUGUAAACCGCUUUCGCCUGUGACGAAGCGUGAGUGACGGUAAUGGGUAAAGAAGCACCGGCUAACUACGUGC